rnacentral:rRNA from 2 species
CCCGCACGCCGGAAGACCAAGGGUUCCUGUCCAACGUUAAUCGGGGCAGGGUGAGUCGACCCCUAAGGCGAGGCCGAAAGGCGUAGUCGAUGGGAAACAGGUUAAUAUUCCUGUACUCGGUGUUACUGCGAAGGGGGGACGGAGAAGGCUAUGUUGGCCGGGCGACGGUUGUCCCGGUUUAAGCAUGUAGGCGGAUGUUCCAGGUAAAUCCGGAACGUUACUAACGCUGAGGUGUGAUGACGAGGCACUACGGUGCUGAAGUGACAAAUGCCCUGCUUCCAGGAAAAGCCUCUAAGCAUCAGGUAACAUCAAAUCGUACCCCAAACCGACACAGGUGGUCAGGUAGAGAAUACCAAGGCGCUUGAGAGAACUCGGGUGAAGGAACUAGGCAAAAUGGUGCCGUAACUUCGGGAGAAGGCACGCUGAUGGUAAGUGAAGCGACUUGCUCGUGGAGCUGAAAUCAGUCGAAGAUACCAGCUGGCUGCAACUGUUUAUUAAAAACACAGCACUGUGCAAACACGAAAGUGGACGUAUACGGUGUGACGCCUGCCCGGUGCCGGAAGGUUAAUUGAUGGGGUUAUCCGUAAGGAGAAGCUCUUGAUCGAAGCCCCGGUAAACGGCGGCCGUAACUAUAACGGUCCUAAGGUAGCGAAAUUCCUUGUCGGGUAAGUUCCGACCUGCACGAAUGGCGUAAUGAUGGCCAGGCUGUCUCCACCCGAGACUCAGUGAAAUUGAACUCGCUGUGAAGAUGCAGUGUACCCGCGGCAAGACGGAAAGACCCCGUGAACCUUUACUAUAGCUUGACACUGAACACUGGUCCUUGAUGUGUAGGAUAGGUGGGAGGCUUUGAAGUGUGGACGCCAGUCUGCAUGGAGCCAUCCUUGAAAUACCACCCUUUAAUGGCUGGUGUUCUAACGUGGGCCCCUAAUCGGGGUUGCGGACAGUGUCUGGUGGGUAGUUUGACUGGGGCGGUCUCCUCCUAAAGAGUAACGGAGGAGCACGAAGGUCAGCUAAUCCUGGUCGGACAUCAGGAGGUUAGUGCAAUGGCAUAAGCUGGCUUGACUGCGAGCGUGACGGCGCGAGCAGGUGCGAAAGCAGGUCAUAGUGAUCCGGUGGUUCUGAAUGGAAGGGCCAUCGCUCAACGGAUAAAAGGUACUCCGGGGAUAACAGGCUGAUACCGCCCAAGAGUUCAUAUCGACGGCGGUGUUUGGCACCUCGAUGUCGGCUCAUCACAUCCUGGGGCUGAAGUAGGUCCCAAGGGUAUGGCUGUUCGCCAUUUAAAGUGGUACGCGAGCUGGGUUUAGAACGUCGUGAGACAGUUCGGUCCCUAUCUGCCGUGGGCGCUGGAGAAUUGAGGGGGGCUGCUCCUAGUACGAGAGGACCGGAGUGGACGCAUCACUGGUGUUCGGGUUGUCAUGCCAAUGGCAUUGCCCGGUAGCUAAAUGCGGAAGAGAUAAGUGCUGAAAGCAUCUAAGCACGAAACUUGCCCCGAGAUGAGUUCUCCCUGACCCUUUAAGGGUCCUGAAGGAACGUUGAAGACGACGACGUUGAUAGGCCGGGUGUGUAAGCGCAGCGAUGCGUUGAGCUAACCGGUACUAAUGAACCGUGAGGCUUAACCUU